GCGGGGGACAACACGGGGAAACUCGUGCUAAUACCGCAUACGCUCUACGGAGGAAAGCCGGGGACCGCAAGGCCUGGCACUGAUAGAUGAGCCCAAGUCGGAUUAGCUAGUUGGCGGGGUAACGGCCCACCAAGGCGACGAUCCGUAGCUGGUCUGAGAGGACGAUCAGCCACACUGGAACUGAGACACGGUCCAGACUCCUACGGGAGGCAGCAGUGGGGAAUAUUGGACAAUGGGGGAAACCCUGAUCCAGCGACGCCGCGUGGGUGAAGAAGGCCUGCGGGUUGUAAAGCCCUUUCGGUAGGGACGAAAGCUCUCGACCUAACACGUCGGGAGGUUGACUUAACCUACAAAAGAAGCACCGGCUAACUCUGUGCCAGCAGCCGCGGUAAUACAGAGGGUGCGAGCGUUAAUCGGAAUUACUGGGCGUAAAGCGCACGUAGGCGGCUUGGUAUGUCGGGUGUGAAAUCCCCGGGCUCAACCUGGGAACUGCAUCCGAAACUGCCUUGCUCGAGUAUGGGAGAGGGAAGUGGAAUUUCCGGUGUAGCGGUGAAAUGCGUAGAUAUCGGAAGGAACAUCAGUGGCGAAGGCGACUUCCUGGACCAAUACUGACGCUCAGGUGCGAAAGCGUGGGGAGCAAACAGGAUUAGAUACCCUGGUAGUCCACGAAUCACUAGUGA
rnacentral:rRNA from 1 species